rnacentral:rRNA from 1 species
GAGGGUGAUCGGCCACAUUGGAACUGAGACACGGUCCAAACUCCUACGGGAGGCAGCAGUGGGGAAUAUUGCACAAUGGGCGAAAGCCUGAUGCAGCAACGCCGCGUGAGUGAUGAAGGCCUUCGGGUCGUAAAACUCUGUCCUCAAGGAAGAUAAUGACGGUACUUGAGGAGGAAGCCCCGGCUAACUACGUGCCAGCAGCCGCGGUAAUACGUAGGGGGCUAGCGUUAUCCGGAUUUACUGGGCGUAAAGGGUGCGUAGGCGGUCUUUCAAGUCAGGAGUGAAAGGCUACGGCUCAACCGUAGUAAGCUCUUGAAACUGGGAGACUUGAGUGCAGGAGAGGAGAGUGGAAUUCCUAGUGUAGCGGUGAAAUGCGUAGAUAUUAGGAGGAACACCAGUUGCGAAGGCGGCUCUCUGGACUGUAACUGACGCUGAGGCACGAAAGCGUGGGGAGCAAACAGGAUUAGAUACCCUGGUAGUCCACGCUGUAAACGAUGAGUACUAGGUGUCGGGGGUUACCCCCUUCGGUGCCGCAGCUAAC